rnacentral:rRNA from 1 species
GAUGAACGCUAGCUACAGGCUUAACACAUGCAAGUCGAGGGGGAACGAUAGAGAAAGCUUGCUUUUUCUAGGCGUCGACCGGCGCACGGGUGAGUAACGCGUAUCCAACCUGCCCAUCACUUGGGGAUAACCUUGCGAAAGUAAGACUAAUACCCAAUGACGUCUCUAGAAGACAUCUGAAGGAGAUUAAAGAUUUAUCGGUGAUGGAUGGGGAUGCGUCUGAUUAGCUUGUUGGCGGGGUAACGGCCCACCAAGGCGACGAUCAGUAGGGGUUCUGAGAGGAAGGCCCCCCCACAUUGGAACUGAGACACGGUCCAAACUCCUACGGGAGGCAGCAGUGAGGAAUAUUGGUCAAUGGACGAGAGUCUGAACCAGCCAAGUAGCGUGCAGGAUGACGGCCCUAUGGGUUGUAAACUGCUUUUANAAGGGAUAAAGUGAGUCUCGUGAGACUUUUUGCAUGUACCUUAUGAAUAAGGACCGGCUAAUUCCGUGCCAGCAGCC